rnacentral:rRNA from 1 species
UACAGAGGGGGCAAGCGUUGUUCGGAAUUACUGGGCGUAAAGGGCGCGUAGGCGGCCUUCUAAGUCGAACGUGAAAUCCCCGGGCUCAACCCGGGAACUGCGUCCGAUACUGGAAGGCUUGAAUCCGGGAGAGGGAUGCGGAAUUCCAGGUGUAGCGGUGAAAUGCGUAGAUAUCUGGAGGAACACCGGUGGCGAAGGCGGCUAUCUGGACAGAGUCUGACGCUGAGGCACGAAAGCUAGGGGAGCAAACAGG